rnacentral:rRNA from 1 species
CAUGAAGCUGGAAUUGCNGUAAUGGCAGGUCAGCAUACUGCCGUGAAUACGUUCCCGGGCCCUUGUACACACCGCCCGUCACACCAUGAGAGUUGGAAAUACCCGAAGCCUGUGAGCUAACUUAAAGAGGCAGCAGUCGAAGGUAGAGCCAAUGAUUGGGGUGAAGUCGUAACAAGGUAGC